rnacentral:rRNA from 1 species
AUUGAACGCUGGCGGCAUGCCUUACACAUGCAAGUCGAACGGCAGCAUGGAGAGCUUGCUCUCUGAUGGCGAGUGGCGAACGGGUGAGUAAUGCAUCGGAACGUACCGUGUAAUGGGGGAUAACGUAGCGAAAGUUACGCUAAUACCGCAUACGACCUGAGGGUGAAAGCAGGGGAUCGCAAGACCUUGCGUUAUACGAGCGGCCCAUGUCAGAUUAGCUAGUUGGUGAGGUAAAGGCGCGCCAAGGCGACGAUCUGUAGCGGGUCUGAGAGGAUGAUCCGCCACACUGGGACUGAGACACGGCCCAGACUCCUACGGGAGGCAGCAGUGGGGAAUUUUGGACAAUGGGGGCAACCCUGAUCCAGCCAUGCCGCGUGAGUGGAGAAGGCCUUCGGGUUGUAAAGCUCUUUCGGCCGGGAAGAAAUCGCACAGGCUAAUACUCUGUGUGGAUGACGGUACCGGCAUAAGAAGCACCGGCUAACUACGUGCCAGCAGCCGCAGUAA